AUAGAGUGUUUCAAGCAGGCUUGUCGCCCUGAAUACUGCAGCAUGGAAUAAUAAGAUAGGACCUUGGUUCUAUUUUGUUGGUUUCUAGGACCGAGGUAAUGAUUAAUAGGGACAGUUGGGGGCAUUCGUAUUUAACUGUCAGAGGUGAAAUUCUUAGAUUUGUUAAAGACGAACUACUGCGAAAGCAUUUGCCAAGGAUGUUUUCAUUAAUCAAGAACGACAGUAGGGGU
rnacentral:rRNA from 1 species